GUUCCUGUGGUGGAAUUGGUAGACGUGCGUGAUUGUCAAUCAUGUGUCCUAGGACAUACGGGUUCGAGUCCCAUCAGGCU
rnacentral:tRNA from 1 species